UGUUCCAGCGAUGUUGUCCAUAUCAGAACGUGCUCAGACUCUUGUGCUGCGUUAAUGAAUCUCAUUCAGUAUAUUGCAAGCUAUGGUGACUUGCAGACACCUAACAAGGCAGAUAUGAAGCCUGGAGCCUUUCAAAGAAGGUCUAAGGUAGAUUCCAGUGGUCGAUCAUCCUCACGUGGUCCAGUACUUCCUGAAGCAGAUCAACAAAUGUUACGAGAUCUGAUGAGUGAUGCUAUGGAGGAGAUCGACAUGCAACAAGGCACCUCGUCAGUAAAACCACAGGCUAAUGGUGUUUUGGAUGAAAAAUCUCAAAUUCAGGAGCCAUGUUGUUCAGACCUCUUCCUGUUUCCUGACGAGAGUGGGAAUGUAUCCCAGGAGCCCGGCCCCACCUAUGCCUCAUUCUCUCACCAUUUCAUCAGUGAUGCAAUGACAGGUGUGCCCACUGAGAAUGAUGACUUUUGCAUUCUUUUUGCACCAAAAGCAGCCAUGCAGGAGAAGGAAGAAGAACCAGUUAUAAAAAUCAUGGUUGAUGAUGCAAUUGUGAUAAGAGACAAUUAUUUCAGUCUGCCCGUUAAGAAGACCGAUACGAGCAAGGCCCCCUUACACUUUCCCAUUCCUGUGAUUCGCUAUGUGGUGAAGGAGGUCUCUCUUGUCUGGCAUCUUUAUGGAGGAAAGGAUUUUGGAACAGUCCCUCCCACUUCUCCGGCUAAAAGUUAUAUUAGUCCCCACAGUUCGCCUUCUCACACACCCACGAGACAUGGACGUAAUACAGUAUGUGGGGGAAAAGGAAGGAACCAUGACUUUUUAAUGGAAAUACAGCUAAGCAAGGUGAAGUUUCAGCAUGAAGUCUACCCGCCAUGCAAACCUGAUUGUGAUUCCAGCCUCUCAGAACACCCAGUCUCCCGGCAGGUGUUCAUUGUUCAGGAUCUUGAGAUUCGAGAUCGUUUGGCAACAUCACAAAUGAAUAAAUUUUUAUACCUGUAUUGCAGUAAAGAAAUGCCUCGAAAAGCUCACUCCAACAUGUUGACAGUGAAAGCCUUACACGUGUGUCCAGAAUCUGGCAGGUCCCCACAGGAGUGCUGCUUGAGAGUGUCGCUGAUGCCGCUCCGCCUCAAUAUUGACCAGGAUGCUUUGUUCUUCCUGAAGGAUUUCUUCACAAGUCUUUCUACAGAAGUAGAGCUUCAGAUGACUCCAGAUCCAGAAGUUAAAAAGUCUCCUGGAGCUGAUGUCACCUGCAGUUUGCCAAGGCAUUUGAGUACCUCAAAGGAGCCAAAUCUAGUUAUUUCUUUCUCUGGGCCAAAACAGCCUUCCCAAAAUGAUAGUGCCAAUUCAGUGGAAGUGGUUAAUGGCAUGGAAGAGAAGAACUUCUCUGCUGAAGAAGCAUCUUUUAGGGAUCAGCCUGUGUUUUUUAGAGAAUUUAGAUUCACGUCAGAAGUUCCCAUUCGACUUGAUUAUCAUGGCAAACAUGUAUCAAUGGAUCAGGGUACGCUAGCUGGGAUUUUGAUUGGUCUGGCUCAGUUAAACUGCUCUGAACUAAAGCUCAAGAGGCUUUCCUAUCGACAUGGUUUACUAGGUGUUGACAAAUUAUUCUCAUAUGCAAUCACUGAGUGGCUUAAUGACAUUAAGAAGAACCAGCUACCAGGAAUCCUGGGAGGUGUUGGACCUAUGCAUUCACUAGUACAAUUAGUACAAGGCCUAAAGGACUUGGUCUGGCUCCCAAUAGAGCAGUACCGGAAGGAUGGCCGCAUUGUCAGAGGGUUUCAGAGAGGCGCUGCUUCCUUUGGUACCUCGACAGCGAUGGCUGCUCUAGAACUCACAAACAGAAUGGUUCAAACCAUACAGGUAAAUUGUAAACAUUAAGUUAGCAGAGGAUUGAUUUCACCAUAUUUGUAUGAAAGGAUCAUAGCUAAAUUUGAAGAA
rnacentral:sRNA from 1 species